rnacentral:rRNA from 1 species
AGUGAACGCUGGCGGUAGGCCUAACACAUGCAAGUCGAACGGCAGCACAGGAGAGCUUGCUCUCUGGGUGGCGAGUGGCGGACGGGUGAGGAAUACAUCGGAAUCUACUCUGUCGUGGGGGAUAACGUAGGGAAACUUACGCUAAUACCGCAUACGACCUACGGGUGAAAGCAGGGGACCUUCGGGCCUUGCGCGAUUGAAUGAGCCGAUGUCGGAUUAGCUAGUUGGCGGGGUAAAGGCCCACCAAGGCGACGAUCCGUAGCUGGUCUGAGAGGAUGAUCAGCCACACUGGAACUGAGACACGGUCCAGACUCCUACGGGAGGCAGCAGUGGGGAAUAUUGGACAAUGGGCGCAAGCCUGAUCCAGCCAUACCGCGUGCGUGAAGAAGGCCUUCGGGUUGUAAAGCCCUUUUGUUGGGAAAGAAAUCCAGCUGGCUAAUACCCGGUUGGGAUGACGGUACCCAAAGGAAAAGCACCGGCUAACUUCGUGCCAGCAGCCGCCGUAA